rnacentral:rRNA from 1 species
GAUGAACGCUGGCGGCGUGCCUAAUACAUGCAAGUCGAGCGAACAGAUGAGGAGCUUGCGCCGCUGACGUUAGCGGAGGGCGGGUGAGUAACGCGUGUAUAACCUACCUAUAAGACUGGUAUAACUUCGGGAAACGGGAGCUAAUACCGGAGAAUAUAUUGAACCACGGGGGGCAAUAGUAAAAGACGGCGUUUCUGGAACGUAUAGAGGGAUCCGCGCCGCAUUAGAUGGUUGUUAAGGUAACAGCUUACUAAGGGAACGAUGCGUAGACGAGCGGAGGGAGUGAUAGGCCACCCUGGAACGGAGCCACGCUCCAGACUCCUAAGGGAGGGCCCAGUAGCGAACGUUACGCAAUGGGCGAAAGCCUGACGGAGUAACGCCGAGUGAGUGAUGACGGUCCUCGGAUCGUAAAAACGUGUUAUUAGGGAAGAACCAAUGUGUACGUAAACAUGCACGUCUUGACGGUAACUAAUCAGAAAGCACCGGCUAACUACGUG